rnacentral:tmRNA from 1 species
GGGGGUGUCACGGUUUCGACGGGGGCGCGGAAUCAUGAAUAGCGGGCGGAUGCGCCUGGCAUCCUUAAAACGGGCACUUUUUAUAAAUUAAAGAACAACGAUAACACUGUUCUUCUCGCUGCUUGAUCAGUGAGCGUUCUGCCCGGGAGGACCACGGCCCGGGACAGGGCGUCGACUAGUGGUGAACGUGAGUACGCUAAGCUUUGCGCGUGCCACGCAUCAUGAAGCUACUGAACCCGUGAGAGUGACGGCUCUCGCUCGGGUGAGGGAAUGUAAAUAACCGUCUGCGCCCGGAGAGGUUCCUGAGGAUGUACCUUCGGACAGGGGUUCAACUCCCCUCACCUCCACCA